GCGCUUGUAGCUCAGAUGGAUAGAGCGACCGCCUCCUAAGCGGUAGGCCGCGGGUUCGAAUCCCGCCUCGCGCACUA
rnacentral:tRNA from 1 species